rnacentral:rRNA from 1 species
AUUGAACGCUGGCGGCAGGCCUAACACAUGCAAGUCGAACGGUAACAGGAAGAAGCUUGCUUCUUUGCUGACGAGUGGCGGACAGGUGAGUAAUGUCUGGGAAACUGCCUGAUGGAGGGGGAUAACUACUGGAAACGGUAGCUAAUACCGCAUAACGUCGCAAGACCAAGGAGGGGGACCUUCGGGCCUCUUGCCAUCGGAUGUGCCCAGAUGGGAUUAGCUAGUAGGUGGGGUAACGGCUCACCUAGGCGACGAUCCCUAGCUGGUCUGAGAGGACGACCAGCCACACUGGAACUGAGACACGGUCCAGACUCCUACGGGAGGCAGCAGUGGGGAAUAUUGCACAAUGGGCGCAAGCCUGAUGCAGCCAUGCCGCGUGUAUGAAGAAGGCCUUCGGGUUGUAAAGUACUUUCAGCGGGGAGGAAGGGAGUAAAGUUAAUACCUUUGCUCAUUGACGUUACCCGCAGAAGAAGCACCGGCUAACUCCGUG